rnacentral:lncRNA from 1 species
CGGGCGUAUGACAUUUGCGCCGAUUUUGAAAAUUUUCAUUCUUUCAUUUGCGCCGAUUUUAUUUUUUCAUUUGCGCCGAUUUUAUAUUUUUUCCUAAUUGGAUUUACAGGUAAGUUACAGGUAAAUUCAUACUUUUACAUUGACUAAUCACAGAGUAUAAAGACAAAUCAAGUGACAUUGCAAUUGGUAAAUGGCUAUCCCAAUGUUUCGGGUUACCAUUCCUUUCCCUAAAUGAAAUCGAUAACUGCUUCACUUUUGACAUUGUCUGACGCUCCUUCUGAUGACAAAUGUCAUAUAUUCUUAGACAACGUUCAAGUACACAUUCCAUAACGGUCAACCAAUUCGUGAUGGCGUCCAUAAAAUUAACGAAGCGAUGAUUUCAACUUCACCAUUUGGAACUCUUGGUUUAAUAGCUUCCUUGCGAGAAAAUGCGAACUCUAGAAAUGCCCCCACCAGUACGUAUGCCAGACAAAGAAAAGAUGUCCUUCGUUAUCGAUAAUUACGCCAAAUAUAGAAGAGACGAAAUCAUAAGAAAGGAAUUUAUUAGAUGUGUUGCCUAUACAUACUCGGCAAGAACAGAUUUAUGAUUUGAAUGUAUUCCGUUUUUAUGGAUUUGAAUGCGGUACAUAUAUUUUUAAUUCGUCAUUUUAGUAUAAACAAAGUUCUUUUAUCUUAGGUUUUUAUUUCUUGAUUUUAAGCAGACAAGUUAUAUACAUGUUAUGAUUGACAAUUCAUAACAUAUGCACAACUGGCUAACGGAAGAGUUCUUUAAUGAUAAAUGAAAAUAACAUUACUUGGAUGGAGAGUUGUCUCAUUGGCACUCAUACCACAUCUUCUUAUAUCAUUUCACCUGUAAUUUACCUGUUAUUUACCUGUAAAAAAAAUCGGCGCAAAUGAAAAAGAAAAUCGGCGCAAAUGAAAGAAAAAAUCGGCGCAAAUGAAAUGCAGAUCGGCGCAAAUGCAAAACGCCGGUUCAAAC